GGGAAGGUGGCAGAGUGGUUGAAUGUACCUGACUCGAAAUCAGGCGUACGUUUAUAGCGUACCGGGGGUUCGAAUCCCCCCCUUCCCGCCA
rnacentral:tRNA from 1 species